rnacentral:rRNA from 1 species
GGAAUAUUGCACAAUGGAGGAAACUCUGAUGCAGCAACGCCGCGUGGAGGAUGACGCAUUUCGGUGUGUAAACUCCUUUUAUAUAGGAAGAUAAUGACGGUACUAUAUGAAUAAGCACCGGCUAACUCCGUGCCAGCAGCCGCGGUAAUACGGAGGGUGCAAGCGUUACUCGGAAUCACUGGGCGUAAAGCGCAUGCAGGCGGUUUAUUAAGUUGGAAGUGAAAUCCUAUGGCUCAACCAUAGAACUGCUUCCAAAACUGAUAAACUAGAGUCUGGGAGGGGAAGAUGGAAUUAGUAGUGUAGGGGUAAAAUCCGUAGAGAUUACUAGGAAUACCAAAAGCGAAGGCGAUCUUCUGGAACAGUACUGACGCUGAGAUGCGAAAGCGUGGGGAGCAAACAGGAUUAGAUACCCUGGUAGUCCACGCAGUAAACGAUGAAUGUUAGUCGUUGGGACUCUAGUAGUUUCAGUGAUGCAGUUAACACAUUAAACAUUCCGCCUGGGGAGUACGGUCGCAAGAUUAAAACUCAAAGGAAUAGACGGGGACCCGCACAAGUGGUGGAGCAUGUGGUUUAAUUCGAAGAUACGCGAAGAACCUUACCUAGCCUUGACAUACUACAGAAUUUGACAGAGAUGUUGGAGUGCCUUCGGGAGCUGUAAUACAGGUGCUGCACGGCUGUCGUCAGCUCGUGUCGUGAGAUGUUGGGUUAAGUCCCGCAACGAGCGCAACCCUCGUCCUUAGUUACUAACGGUUCGGCCGAGGACUCUAAGGAGACUGCCUUCGUAAGGAGGAGGAAGGUGAGGACGACGUCAAGUCAUCAUGGCCCUUACGGCUAGGGCAACACACGUGCUACAAUGGUUAGGACAAUGAGAAGCGAUACCGCGAGGUGGAGCAAAUCUAUAAACCUAAUCUCAGUUCGGAUAGCAGUCUGCAACUCGACUGCUUGAAGCUGGAAUCACUAGUAAUCGUAAAUCAGCUAUGUUACGGUGAAUACGU